GAGGGUAUAGCUUAAGUGGUAGAGCACAUGCCCAGCACGCAUGAGGUUCUAGGUUCAAUCCCCAGUACCUCUU
rnacentral:tRNA from 1 species